UGCUCACUUCGGCAGCACACAUACUAAAUUGGAACAAUACAGAGAGGAUUAGCAUGACCCCUGUGCAAGGAUGACACGUAAAUUCAUGAAGCAUUCCAUAUUUUU
ensembl:snRNA U6 U6 spliceosomal RNA